rnacentral:rRNA from 1 species
AUUGAACGCUGGCGGCAGGCCUAACACAUGCAAGUCGAGCGGAGCGGGGGACGGGUGAGUGAUGCCUAGGAAUCUGCCUGGUAGUGGGGGAUCACGUCCGGAAACGGGCGCUAAUCCCACAUACUAUCAGAUUAGCCUCGGUCGGAUUAGCUAUUUGGUGGGGUAAAGGCCUACCAAGGCGACGAUCCUUAACUGGUCUGAGAGGAGGAUCAGUCACACUGGAACUGAGACACGGUCAAGAUUCCUACGGGAGGCAGCAGUGGGGAAUUUUGGACAAUGGGCGAAAGCCUGAUCCAGCCAUGCCGCGUGUGUGAAGAAGGCCUUCGGGUUGUAAAGCACUUUAAGUUGGGAGGCGUUACCAACAGAAUAAGCACCGGCUAACUUCGUGCCAGCAGCCGCGGUAAUAC